GGCUCAGGAUGAACGCUAGCUACAGGCUUAACACAUGCAAGUCGAGGGGAAACGAUAGAGAAAGCUUGCUUUUUCUAGGCGUCGACCGGCGCACGGGUGAGUAACGCGUAUCCAACCUGCCCAUCACUUGGGGAUAACCUUGCGAAAGUAAGACUAAUACCCAAUGACGUCUCUAGAAGACAUCUGAAGGAGAUUAAAGAUUUAUCGGUGAUGGAUGGGGAUGCGUCUGAUUAGCUUGUUGGCGGGGUAACGGCCCACCAAGGCGACGAUCAGUAGGGGUUCUGAGAGGAAGGUCCCCCACAUUGGAACUGAGACACGGUCCAAACUCCUACGGGAGGCAGCAGUGAGGAAUAUUGGUCAAUGGGCGCGAGCCUGAACCAGCCAAGUCGCGUGAGGGAUGAAUGGUCCAUGGCCUGUAAACCUCUUUUGUCAAGGAAGAAUAAAAGGUACGUGUACCUUCUUGCCAGUACUUGACGAAUAAGCAUCGGCUAACUCCGUG
rnacentral:rRNA from 1 species